GAUGAACGCUGGCGGCGUGCCUAAUACAUGCAAGUCGAGCGAACAGAUGAGGAGCUUGCUCCUCUGACGUUAGCGGCGGACGGGUGAGUAACACGUGGAUAACCUACCUAUAAGACUGGGAUAACUUCGGGAAACCGGAGCUAAUACCGGAUAAUAUAUUGAACCGCAUGGUUCAAUAGUGAAAGACGGUUUUGCUGUCACUUAUAGAUGGAUCCGCGCCGCAUUAGCUAGUUGGUAAGGUAACGGCUUACCAAGGCAACGAUGCGUAGCCGACCUGAGAGGGUGAUCGGCCACACUGGAACUGAGACACGGUCCAGACUCCUACGGGAGGCAGCAGUAGGGAAUCUUCCGCAAUGGGCGAAAGCCUGACGGAGCAACGCCGCGUGAGUGAUGAAGGUCUGCGGAUCGUAAAACGCUGUUAUUAGGGAAGAACAAAUGUGUAAGUAACGAUGCACGUCUUGACGGUACCUAAUCAGAAAGCCACGGCUAACUACGU
rnacentral:rRNA from 1 species